rnacentral:rRNA from 1 species
GACGACGCUGGCGGCGUGCCUAACACAUGCAAGUCGAACGGGGUUACGAGAGCUUGCUCUUGUAACUUAGUGGGCGAACGGGUGAGUAACGCGUGAGAAACCUGCCUCUCAGUGGGGGACAACAGUUGGAAACGACUGCUAAUACCGCAUAACACUUUAGUACCGCAUGGUACAGAAGUCAAAGCUUUAUGUGCUGAGAGAUGGUCUCGCGUCUGAUUAGCUAGAUGGCGGGGGUAACGGCCCACCAUGGCGACGAUCAGUAGCCGGACUGAGAGGUUGAACGGCCACAUUGGGACUGAGACACGGCCCAGACUCCUACGGGAGGCAGCAGUGGGGAAUAUUGGGCAAUGGGCGCAAGCCUGACCCAGCAACGCCGCGUGAGGGAAGAAGGUUUUCGGAUUGUAAACCUCUGUCCUAAGUGAAGAGCAGAAGACGGUAGCUUAGGAGGAAGCCCCGGCUAACUACGUG